CCUACGGGAGACAGCAGUAGGGAAUCUUCCACAAUGGACGAAAGUCUGAUGGAGCAACGCCGCGUGAGUGAAGAAGGGUUUCGGCUCGUAAAGCUCUGUUGGUAGUGAAGAAAGAUAGAGGUAGUAACUGGCCUUUAUUUGACGGUAAUUACUUAGAAAGUCAAGGCUAACUACGUGCCAGCAUCCGCGGUAAUACGUAGGUGGCAAGCGUUGUCCGGAUUUAUUGGGCGUAAGGCGAGUGCAGGCGGUUCAAUAAGUCUGAUGUGAAAGCCUUCGGCUCAACCGGAGAAUUGCAUCAGAAACGGUUGAACUUGAGUGCAGAAGAGGAGAGUGGAACUCCAUGUGUAGCGGUGGAAUGCGGAGAGAUAUGGAAGAACACCAGUGGCGAAGGCGGCUCUCUGGUCUGCAACUGACGCUCAUGCACGAAAGCGUGGGUAUCGAACAGGAUUAGAUACCCUUGUAGUC
rnacentral:rRNA from 1 species